CCGAGUAUUGGGGCCCUCUAGGUCUCUACUCCCACCCUAUGUGUACCAAUCUCAGUUGCUUUGGCGGGUCGCUGGUUCUGACCACCGCUGGCUUUUAAGUUGGCGAGUACCCGCCGGAGGACCCUUAAAACUCGUUUUAACGGUGGCUCUGAGUGAAUCUUUAAAUAGAAAA
rnacentral:misc_RNA from 1 species